rnacentral:rRNA from 1 species
UACGUAGGGUGCAAGCGUUGUCCGGAAUUAUUGGGCGUAAAGCGCACGUAGGCGGAUUUGUAAGUCAGGGGUGAAAUCCCGGGGCUCAACCUCGGAACUGCCUUUGAUACUGCAAAUCUCGAGUCCGGAAGAGGUGAGUGGAAUUCCUAGUGUAGAGGUGAAAUUCGUAGAUAUUAGGAAGAACACCAGUGGCGAAGGCGGCUCACUGGUCCGGUACUGACGCUGAGGUGCGAAAGCGUGGGGAGCGAACAGG